rnacentral:rRNA from 1 species
GACGAACGCUGGCGGCGUGCUUAACACAUGCAAGUCGAACGGAAAGGCCCUGCUUUUGUGGGGUGCGCGAGGGGCGAACGGGUGAGUAACACGUGAGUAACCUGCCCUUGACUUUGGGAUAACUUCAGGAAACUGGGGCUAAUACCGGAUAGGAGCUCCUGCUGCAUGGUGGGGGUUGGAAAGUUUCGGCGGUUGGGGAUGGACUCGCGGCUUAUCAGCUUGGUGGUGGGGUAGUGGCUUACCAAGGCUUUGAGGGGUAGCCGGCCUGGGAGGGUAACCGGCCCCAUUGGGACUGAGAUACGACCCAGACUCCAACGGGAGGCAGCGGUGGGGAAUAUUGUACAAUGGGCGGAAGCCAGAUGCAGCAACGCCGCGUGGGGGAUGAGGGCCUUCGGGUUGUAAACCACUUUCGCCUGUGACGAAGCGUGAGUGACGGUAAUGGGUAAAGAAGCACCGGCUAACUACGUG